rnacentral:rRNA from 1 species
AGUGAACGCUGGCGGUAGGCCUAACACAUGCAAGUCGAACGGCAGCACAGUAAGAGCUUGCUCUUACGGGUGGCGAGUGGCGGACGGGUGAGGAAUACAUCGGAAUCUACUUUUUCGUGGGGGAUAACGUAGGGAAACUUACGCUAAUACCGCAUACGACCUACGGGUGAAAGCAGGGGAUCUUCGGACCUUUCGCGAUUGAAUGAGCCGAUGUCGGAUUAGCUAGUUGGCGGGGUAAAGGCCCACCAAGGCGACGAUCCGUAGCUGGUCUGAGAGGAUGAUCAGCCACACUGGAACUGAGACACGGUCCAGACUCCUACGGGAGGCAGCAGUGGGGAAUAUUGGACAAUGGGCGAAAGCCUGAUCCAGCCAUACCGCGUGGGUGAAGAAGGCCUUCGGGUUGUAAAGCCCUUUUGUUGGGAAAGAAAAGCAGCAGGUUAAUACCCCGCUGUUCUGACGGUACCCAAAGAAUAAGCACCGGCUAACUUCGUG